UUAAAAUAUAUCAUUUUUAUUCUUUGCUGAUUAUUGUUACAAGAAAUUACCACUCUUAUAAUUAUAUGCUAUCCUCGUUGAAAAAAUGAGAUGGAAAUCCAGAUGGUUAUCAACAUGUAUGUGGAUUCCCAUGGAUUUUAGAUGGUUUUGUAUGAAUUCCAUGUAGAUAAAUCAUAUGGAAUCCAUACAAAACCAUCUAAAAUCCAUGAGAAUCCACAUACGUGUGGAUAACCAUCUGGAUUUCCAUCUUAUCUUUUCAACGGAGAUAUUAUUAUUACUUAUUUCUUGUAACUAUAAAGGUCUAUGUAUUAUAUAUUUGUUGAGAUGUAUGUGUAUUCUUUUAUUGUAGAAGUGAAAAUAUGAUGUUAAGAGAAGGAAAAAAAAUCGAAAUUCUAUUACGGAUAGACAUUAUAGAAGAUUGAUACAAAUGAAAACCACGAAAUGUUGCAAUCAAAUAUUUUUUUGCGAUUAAUGCUGUAAACAAAGAUAGUAAAAAUUGUACCGGUACAAAGAAGUCAUUGCCAUAUGAUAAGAUAAUAACAAAUAGUAGUGAUAAUAGUGAAAAAUUUGAAGAUGUAACAAUUACAUCAUCAUGCGAGUUGCACGUUGAUGAAAACUGUUCAUCUUCUCAGUCUGAUCAAAGUAGAGGUUUAAAUGCACAAUUUGAUGAAUCAGAAAAUAAAAAUUAUUUGGAUGACACUGCCAAAUUAAAAAAUGUUUUAACAGAUUGGGCUUUAAAAAACCACAUUACACAUACUGCAUUAUCCACAUUAUUGCAAGAAUUAAAAAGUCAUCAAUGUUUUUCUAAAUUACCUCAGGAUGCAAGAACAUUGCUUGGUACACCAUUACAAUAUAUUGUAAAAACGAUUGAGCCUGGAGAAUACAUACAUUUUGGUUUAUACAACGGUAUAAAACGAUCAAUUGAAAAACAAACUUUGACAACUACAAUUGAAGUAGCAAUUAAUGUAGAUGGCCUUCCACUUAAUAGAUCUUCCAGUAAUUCAUUUUGACCAAUUUUAGGAUCUAUUUUACCUCAUGGAAACGUUUUCAUUAUCGGUGUUUAUUAUGAUGAAGAGAAACCAAAAAAUGUUAAUGACUUUUUAUAUGAUUUUGUUUCUGAGGCAAUAGAUUUGUAUACAAAUGGAAUUUCAAUCGAUAAUUUUCAAUAUCUAUUUAAAAUAAAAUAUUUUGUAUGUGAUGCUCCUGCUAAAUCAUAUAUUUUGCAAUGUAGAGGGCACACUGGAUACUACAGUUGUACAAAAUGUACAGUUGAAGGAGUUUAUAAGCAAAAUCGAGUAUGUUUUCCUGAAAUUAAUGCUUAAACGUACAAACAAAGGUUUUAAAAUGCAAAUGGACGAUUCCUAUCAUAUAUCACAAACCUUACUUGAACAAAUUUCCCGCUCUUGAUUUUGUAAAAGAUUUCGUAUUAGAUUAUAUGCAUUUGGUAUGCUUAGGUGUUACACGUAAACUGCUUAACUUAUAGGUAAAUGGAAGUAUAGAAUGUCGUUUACAGUAUCGUGACGUAGAAAAAGUUUCUGUUGCACUGGAAAAUUUAAAACAAUAUACACCAAAAGAAUUUGGACGUAAACCACGCUCAUUAAAAUAUUUAAAACUAUGGAAGGCCACUGAAUAUCGUCAGAUACUUCUAUAUACUGGACCAACAGUUUUACAAUCUAUAUUAUCACAAGACAGUUAUAAUAAUUUUAUAAGUUUACAUGUAGCAAUAAGAAUAUUAUGUAAUGAAAAUCUUAAAAACGCUUAUAUGGAAUAUGCCAAAACAUUACUAGAACACUUUAUUGAGUCAUUUGCAAUCUUAUAUGGCAAACAUCAUAUAUCGCACAAUAUACAUUGCUUGUGUCAUCUUACUGAAGAUGUCAACAAUUUUGGUAUUCUGGAUAAUUUUAGUAGUUUCAAGUUUAAAAAUUUUAUGCAAAUACUAAAAAAAUUGAUUCGAAAAAAUAAAAAACCACUACAACAAUUAUUUCGAAGAUAUCAUGAAGCACGACAUGUAACAACUGAAAUUUAAAAAAAUACAAAAUUGUAUCCUAUAAAAUCUACAAACCAUUGCAAUGAUCGGUUAUUACCUUUAUCAAACAAUCCACAAUACAAAUCAGCAGAAUGUACUUUUUUUACGUUAAACGCAGAUAGUAAAGCGAACAAUUAUUAUGGAUUACAAGAUAAUACAAUAAUAUUACUUCGUAAUAUUGCAUAUAAUACAGAAAGCAAAGAAUUAAUAAUUAUAGGCAAUCAAUUUGAAUGCAAAGAAAAUUAUUAUAACACGCCAUGUGAUUCAUCUGUUCUUGGUAUAUAUAAAGUAUCACAAUUAUCUAAAUUAAAAAUGUGGCCCUUACGUACCGUUAAUAUAAAGUAUGUACAAUAUCCAGUAAAUAAUAAUAAAUAUAUUAUUAUUCCUCUUCUGCACAAUGAAAUAAUUGAAAGUACAGAAUUGUGACAUUUAAGAAUGCUUUUCAAUAAUAAGCAGAAACGAAUUUUUAUUGUAAAUAUUUUAAUGUUAUUCUAAUAUACUAUUAAUAUUUUUAUUUGUGUAUGUGCAAGUAUAUUAUUUUAUGUAUUUAUAUAUUUUAGGUAAAAAUAAUAAAUAUGAGCAAUAAAGAAAAUUCUUAUUAUAUUAUUGAAUUUGAAGAUGGUAUGCAACUUAUACCAUAUAAUUGGUUCAAUGCAUCUAAAAGUAAAGCAUACUGGUCUAAUUUCACAAAUAUUAAAAAAUAUGACAAAGCUGUGCAAUACAUGGAGCCCGUUGGAAAGAACUGACCUUUAUAUGAUGUACAAAGAAUAUUAGGUAGUGCUCAAUCUUUUGAGUCUGAAAAAAAAAAUUAAAAUUAGCUGAGACCCAUUCAGAUCUGAAUACUGACAUCAGUGACGAAGAAAAAUAAAAAAAAGAAAGAAAAGUAAGGGCUGCUAAACAAUUAAGUAGCGAAACAGAAUCUGAUUCAGAAAUCAUAGAAUCUUUGUUAAAGCCAUUUCCUGAGAUUAAAUCAUAUAAUAAAACUGUUAAAACUACAAAAAUGAUUGAGGACAGUAAAUGCAAAAAUGUACAAUAUGAGACAAUCAUUCAGCUUCAUCAUCAUCAGUUCAAUCAGAUAAUAAUAUAUUGCCCUCUGAUCUUCCAACUGUAUCAAAGAGUCAAAAGAGAGAUGCAAUUACAGAAGUUGCAAUAAAAAACAAAAAAA